UACACUCCUGCGGGAGGCAGCAGUGGGGAAUUUUGGACAAUGGGCGAAAGCCUGAUCCAGCAAUGCCGCGUGAGUGAAGAAGGCCUUCGGGUUGUAAAGCUCUUUUGUCAGGGAAGAAACGGUGAGAGCUAAUAUCUCUUGCUAAUGACGGUACCUGAAGAAUAAGCACCGGCUAACUACGUGCCAGCAGCCGCGGUAAUACGUAGGGUGCAAGCGUUAAUCGGAAUUACUGGGCGUAAAGCGUGCGCAGGCGGUUUUGUAAGUCUGAUGUGAAAUCCCCGGGCUCAACCUGGGAAUUGCAUUGGAGACUGCAAGGCUAGAAUCUGGCAGAGGGGGGUAGAAUUCCACGUGUAGCAGUGAAAUGCGUAGAUAUGUGGAGGAACACCGAUGGCGAAGGCAGCCCCCUGGGUCAAGAUUGACGCUCAUGCACGAAAGCGUGGGGAGCAAACAGGAUUAGAAACCCUUGUAGUCCCAUG
rnacentral:rRNA from 1 species